rnacentral:rRNA from 1 species
CGCCUUGCCAGCCCGCUCAGAAACUUAAAGGAAUUGACGGGGCCGCACAAGCGGUGGAGCAUGUGGUUAAUUCGAUGAUACGCGAGGAACCUUACCUGGGCUCAAAUGUAUGUUGACGUAUUCUGAAAGGGAUACUUCUUCGGACAAUAUACAAGGUGCUGCAUGGUUGUCGUCAGCUCGUGCCGUGAGGUGUGGGUUAAGUCCCGCAACGAGCGCAACCCCUAUUGCCAGUUGCUACCAGGUAAUGCUGGGCACUCUGGUGAGACUGCCCCGGUUAACGGGGAGGAAGGUGGGGACGACGUCAAGUCAUCAUGGCCCUUACGCCUAGGGCUACACACGUACUACAAUGGCGCAUACAAAGGGCAGCGAUACCGCGAGGUGGAGCCAAUCCCAAAAAGUGCGUCCCAGUCCGGAUUGCAGUCUGCAACUCGACUGCAUGAAGUUGGAAUCGCUAGUAAUUCGAGAUCAGCAUCGCUCGGGUGAAUAGCGUUCCCGGGCCUU